GCUUGCUCUUUGGGUGGCGAGUGGCGGACGGGUGAGUAAUGUCUGGGAAACUGCCCGAUGGAGGGGGAUAACUACUGGAAACGGUAGCUAAUACCGCNNNACGUCGCACGACCAAAGUGGGGGACCUUCGGGCCUCACACCAUCGGAUGUGCCCAGAUGGGAUUAGCUAGUNNGUGGGGUAACGGCUCACCUAGGCGACGAUCCCUAGCUGGUCUGAGAGGAUGACCAGCCACACUGGAACUGAGACACGGUCCAGACUCCUACGGGAGGCAGCAGUGGGGAAUAUUGCACAAUGGGCGCAAGCCUGAUGCAGCCAUGCCGCGUGUAUGAAGAAGGCCUUCGGGUUGUAAAGUACUUUCAGCGGGGAGGAAGGCGAUGUGGUUAAUAACCGCGUCGAUUGACGUUACCCGCAGAAGAAGCACCGGCUAACUCCGUGCCAGC
rnacentral:rRNA from 1 species